rnacentral:lncRNA from 1 species
AAAACCUUCCUCCAAUCCUCUCAUCUAUGCACCCCAAACCGAACCCACAACAUCUACAGCCGCCAUCACUCCACCACUCCACCAUCCAUUUCCACAAACCCAACCCACCACCACACCACACCAUCCCUACCUACAAACCCAACUCCACCCAGCACUUAUAACCACUCAGCAUGACAGUAAUCUUCCCCCCAAAAUCACCAAAUCAAAAAUUUCCAAAAAUGAAGAAGACGAAAGCGGGCAAGAUCUGGUUUUCUGGGGUUGA